rnacentral:rRNA from 1 species
GACGAACGCUGGCGGCGUGCUUAACACAUGCAAGUCGAACGAUGAAGCCAGCUUGCUGGUGGAUUAGUGGCGAACGGGUGAGUAACACGUGGGUGAUCUGCCCCAAACUUUGGGAUAAGCCUGGGAAACUGGGUCUAAUACCGAAUAUGACCGAUACUCGCAUGGGUGUUGGUGGAAAGCUCCGGCGGUUUGGGAUGGGCCCGCGGCCUAUCAGCUUGUUGGUGGGGUAAUGGCCUACCAAGGCGACGACGGGUAGCCGGCCUGAGAGGGCGACCGGCCACACUGGGACUGAGACACGGCCCAGACUCCUAUGGGAGGCAGCAGUGGGGAAUAUUGCACAAUGGGCGCAAGCCUGAUGCAGCGACGCCGCGUGAGGGAUGACGGCCUUUGGGUUGUAAACCUCUUUCACCAGGGACGAAGCGAAAGUGACGGUACCUGGAGAAGAAGCACCGGCCAACUACGUG